rnacentral:misc_RNA from 1 species
GGCGGAAGAGCACAGAUGCCAAGCACAUGAAGGCCAUCGUCUCUGCGCUAAUAAUUGCGGCUUCUUCGGUAGCCCAGCUACCAUGGAUCUCUGCUCCAAAUGUUACAGAGACUUCCGUCUUAAAGAACAAGAACAAGCCUCCACCAAAUCCACCAUCGAAGCCGCUCUCUCGGCCUCAUCAUCUCCUUCUCCUUCCUCUUCCCCAAUCGAUCCUCCCCCCGUUCCCCCUGUUGUCGAAUUGUCCCUGCCGGACUCCACCACAGAUCUGACCAUCCCUCCCCUCGCGGCCGUCGGAUCUGAAGCCGCAAAUCAACCGAAUCCUACUCCGAACCCGAACCCCAACCCAAACCGUUGUUCGUCGUGCCGUAAGAAGGUGGGUUUGACCGGGUUCAAAUGCAGAUGCGGAACCACGUUCUGUGGGGCUCAUAGGUACCCGGAGAAACACGGCUGCACCUUCGACUUCAAGUCAAUCGGAAGAGAGGAGAUCGCUCGAGCGAACCCCGUCGUCAAAGCCGAUAAACUGGAAAGGAUUUGAGCGAUUUCUUAGGCCCUUACACUCUAGCAUGGCGACGACUGUAGCAAAUUUCACGGUGGCCCAUCAUCCAAUCAUCUUUGCCGCCGUCGAAACUCUCUCAGCCGUCCGAUCUCCGUUCAACGUCGCAGUCGAUGAUGAUGCUGCUCUCUCUCUCUCUAUCUCGUUACAAUAUAAAAAUAAUGAAGAUGGGUUUCCUUGUA